AAUAAACUCGCCAAUUUGAUUUUUGGGGAUCUUAGGGUUCAGAUCUUCAAUUUAAGAUUCGAAGAGUUCCGAACAGAUUCAAAGGAAAAGGGUUAUGGAUUUGGUAUAAGGGAGUCAUGGGGGUUAUAUGGUGUAGAUUUGAGGUGGAUUGGAGGCGGCGACGCCGGUCGGCGAGUGGGGAAUUGAAAGGCAGUGUUUCUAGGGUUCUUCAAAGACGAAGAAGGAAGGGGUU
rnacentral:lncRNA from 1 species